ACUGCCUACGGGGCGCAGCAGUAGGGAAUUUUCGGCAAUGGGGGAAACCCUGAACGAGCAAUGCCGCGUGAACGAUGACGGUCCUCUGGAUUGUAAAGUUCUGUUGUUUGGGAAGAACGGCUCUAAUAGGAAAUGAUUAGAGAUUGACUGUACCAUUCAAGAAAGCCACGGCUAACUACGUGCCAGCAGCCGCGGUAAUACGUAGGUGGCGAGCGUUAUCCGGAUUUAUUGGGCGUAAAGCGUCCGCAGCCGGUUUAUUAAGUAUAGAAUAAAACUUCGGGGCUCAACCCCGUCUCGUUCUAUAA
rnacentral:rRNA from 1 species